CUCUUCCUGAAUCGAUAACAAACACCUCCCUCCCUCCCUCUCGCUUCCGCCGCCGACGAUCGCCAAUGGAAGCGGCCGACCUCGUUCCUUUCCUCGACGCUGAUCGCGUUCCCGCUCCCCGAUUCUUGACGUCGUCUGGAAUGCGGAUGCGUUCUUACCGUGGUUUGCUUCUGUUUAGGCGGUGGGGAAAGGUGCAAGAAUCCGAUCGGGAGACGGUGAAAACACUGGUGGCCGUCCAUCGACGACCUUUGACCACGAUUGGACCGAAUCCAAUCUUGUCUUCAGCUUUCAGCGUGGCAGCGAUUCGAGCCAGGUUGAUGUUGAGGCCGAAGGGGUUUCUAGCUGCAGCUAAUCGGCCGCGAUAUGCGGCCGCGGGCCAUCAGAUGGUGUUGCUGCAGAAGCACGGAUGGGAAUGAUGAUGCUAAUUGGAAAUGAAGAAUAGUGGAAGCUCAUGUUCAUGGGAAGACUCUGCAGAUGGUGAGAGCCAUCUUGCUAUGAUAUCAUAUAGACUAUAAACUAUUUGUGUUCUUAUUUGAAGAUAGUUGGAUGCUUUUGCUGCACAGCUAGAAAUCAUUAGUUAGCUCAAUCAUGUUAUGAUAUUGGAUUUCUAGCUAUCCAUGCAAUUGUUAUAUUUGUCAAAACGAUUAUCUAACUGUAAUCCUCUUAUUGUUUCGCGUUGAUUGCGUCAUCCAUUGCUCUGUAGUUGACCUAAUGUGCUCUGGAUUUUGACAAGUUCUAUAUAAAGGCUCUCGGUCUAUCACAUAUGCUUUCCUUUGAACAAACUGUAAAUAUAACCACGGGGAGAAGUCUAUGAUUACAGCUUUCUUCUUCUUAAGCUAAUUAAGAGUUCAGGAAUUUGAUGCCGAGGAAACCAUAUAGUGCCUGUUAAAAAACCAGGGUUGGUGUAUUAAUGCCUUGAAACUGCUUGGAUUUGAAUAUAUGUUAUGCGACCUAUGGUAGUGAAGAAAAAGAAUUGUAUCAUGCCUUUUAAUCUGAAUACUGAUUAUAAUUGGAUAUCACACUCAAAGAAUUUAGUUUGCAAAUCAUUUUAUUCACAAAUUUUAGCUUGCAUUGUCAAAUAUAACAAAUUCUAAAUUGCCAUAAUUUUUAGUAUACCUGUCUCUCUUCCUCUUAUAUAGUGGUUUGCGCUUUGCAAAGGAAUGUUAGUGUCAUGUUGCAUGCUCAAGCAUAUGGCACCUAUAUAAUAAUCAAACUGUAUCAUGGUAGAACUAAGAUGAUCUUUUUCUUGAGGUUAGAAGGUAUCUACGUUCAUGGAAAUUGUUUCAACUUCUCGAAUGUUUGACUUGGUUCCUUGAAUGCUUAAGAUUGAUAUGCCUAUUCAUGGCAGAUAUAAGCUACUUUCUCAUUAUUGUCUGCGCAUCUCUCUUGUCGGUAACAAUCAAAGAACUCAAACUCGAAGGCUUGGUAGGAGUUGCUCUUGGUCAAGUACACGUGAUGGCCCAACUCUCCUGGAUGGGAUUUGUCGAUGUGAUUGAUUGGUAUAUAAAAUUGAAUGUGCCUACUAUUAGUUACUUGGUGUAGGUAUACUCUGCAAUGUGAUUAAGACCUCUUACAAGUAAUUAGUGGAUCUAUUGGAUCAUGACAUUAGUAUUAGAGGGACUUAGAGUCUGGAAAUGUAGCUUGCUUCUUUGGGGGAAGACUUGAAACAUGGAACACCACUUACAUUUCAGGUUUCAUAGGCUUCAUCCCCAUUUUUAAUCUUUUUUUGCUUCAAUAUGGAAAAAUUCAUUGACUAGAAAUUUGUUGACUCAGCUAUUGGCUUUUUCUUUGUGUUCUGUGUUCUUUCCACUAACACCUUAAGUCAUGAUGAGUUUAGCACUUAAUUUUCUUACAUCUCCAUUUUUAGUCUUUUUUUACUAAUUCGUCGCUAUGAAAAAAUAUUCAUUAACUAGAAAUUCAUUAAAUCAUCUUUUGGCUUAAGUUAUGAUGACUUUAGCACUAAUUAUUUUGCACUCUUUCGGCUUUUUUUAUUUCACCAACCAUGCUUCCUGGCCCCUAUUACUUUUUGCCAAGCUGCCUCAUCCAAGGUAAUUUGACAACCAUAAAAUAGUUCAUCUUUUGGGAAAUUUCUAUACUUAUUAUAAGCAACAGUUACACAUUUGAAUCCAUGCUGAGAUAUGAUGCACAUACGAGCUUCGAUGAUCAGACCGUAAAGCAAAAUAGCAUGAAGUAUUUUUUGGUAGGCAGUCACUGUUCCAGUGCUUUGGGUAUGGGGAGGUGAACUCACAAUAAGGUGAAACCCAGAAACCCAAAUCCUUCUGCAGCCAUGAAAUAGUAGUCUAUUCCUUUUUUUUUAUCUGGACUAACAAAGUUAUUUCCUUGCUGUAGCUUUGAAGCAAGAAAGCUGGUUGUCUGCCGGAAGAGACGGUCACAUGGUAAAUAGACACUGAACCUGUUCCCGGUUACUCAAAUUCCAAUGAAAUGUUACAAUUGACAUGGAGUGUAACAUCAGAGAGACUGGAGCAUAAUCUGUUCCCUGGAGCCCCCAUGCAUCCGAGAAGCCAAUAAUUUCCUGAUGCAUCUGUUCAGGCCCGACAACACCGAUAAGUUUGAAAGAAAUACAUGGUCACACCGCAGCGAGAAUUUAAUUAUGUCAGAGUCCUUAUCCCGCACUGUUAUAUGCUGAUGCCUGUUAUGCUUGACGCCAGGAAUAUCACGUGGAGUUUGAUGAGCUUUCUGGCCCUGUUGCCUUCAUCACCUUCCCUGUCACCUGCUUCUACUGUGUCUUCGAUCGAUGCGGCCACCGACGCGUCGCCCUUUUUUCUUGAUUUAAACGAUGAAUGCGGCUUCUUUGAGAUAAGGACUAUGGUAACAUCUGAAGGAGGAGCGAGGACUCUGUCCACAACCUCUACCUUAUCUACAGAUCUCUGAGGUCAUGUCAUCGCAGAGUUUCUCCUAAUAAAAACAAUGUGGUAGCCUCUGAAAUCUGGAACUCUGCAGUGGCCGUAUAUGGCACCAUUUACCUGCUCCAUGUGGUUUCCACAAUGCUUGACAGCCAUUAGCACAGACCACACUACGGGGACUGAUCUUAAAGGUUGCCAUAUAUUGGAAGAAAAAUGAAGUCUCAUCUGUUCUGUCAAUAAUUGCAAACAGAUCUGUGGAGCCAAGACAUCUAAUCUGAUGGGACAUCUCAUAAGUAGAAGCAUAUGCUUGUCAGUAGUAUCAGCUUGUUCUAUAUAUUCUCUUUCCCCAGCAGCUUCAACAUGAUAUAUGGUGGUGGGGACGUUAGUCCAAAAAAAGAAAUAUGUGCCAAUAAUGCAUACUUGUCUGAUGUGUAUAAGCUUGACUAGGUCCUAAAUCAGUCUGUUUGCUAACAUGGGAGACGGCAUCAGAGGAAAACAGAACACAAAAUAAGAACAAGGUGGUGUGGAAGCUUAGCAGAUCAAAAACCUGCAAUUGGAAAUGAGUGGUGAAAGCUUUUUGAUGCCUCGGUGAGCUGUUCAAAAUGUCACUGUCGAAAGGUAUUUAGCAAAAUCUUGCUAUUUGUUUUGCACGUAAUUUUGGACUGUAGCUACGAAAAGUCUUUCUGGUCCGGCGUGCUGGAGUGGUAGUCUGAAUGAAUAUUUUG